GUUUUAAUAAUUUAAAUAAAAAUAUUGGUCUUGUAAAUCAAAUAUAAGGAAAGCUUUUAAAACU
rnacentral:tRNA from 1 species